rnacentral:lncRNA from 1 species
CACACACUUCUCCUCCCCACCUCCCCUCUCUCUCUCUCUCUCUUCAAAUCUCUCUCGUUGAGGAAAAUGGCAUCCUUCAACAACUUCUUUCUCCUCCUCUUCAUGCUGCUCCUCACCAAUUCCUUCCACCUCACACUCCAAAAGAAGCCUCUCUCUGUCUCCUUCCCUCUCACCUCAGCCCCUCUCAGCUCCAAACCCCACGCCUCCGACGCCAAACUCCUCUCCUCAAAGGUCUCAUCGCCGCCGUUCGGCUACAACUACAAGUCAGCCUUCAAAUACUCAAUGGCUCUGAUCAUCUCCCUCCCCAUCGGCACCCGCCGCAGGCGCAGCAGAUGGUGGUGGACACCGGCAGCCAGCUGUCGUGGAUCCCAGUGCCACCGCAAGGCCCCCCGCAAGCCCCCGCCGCCGUCUUCCUUCGACCCGUCCCUCUCAUCCUCCUUCUCCGUCCUCCCCUGCACCCACCCCAUCUGCAAGCCCCGCAUCCCCGACUUCACCUCCCCACCACCUGCGACCAGAACCGCCUCUGCCACUACUCCUACUUCUACGCCGACGGCACCCUCGCCGAGGGCAAUCUCGUCCGGGAAAGAUUCACCUUCUCCCGCUCCCCCUCCCGCUCCACCCCUCCCCUCAUCCUGGGCUGCGCCGCCGACUCCGCCGCCGACGCCGAGGGCAUUCUGGGAAUGAACCGCGGCCGCCUCUCCUUCGUCUCCCAGGCCAAAGUCCCCAGCUUCUCCUACUGCGUGCCGGUGAGGCGCGCCCGCGACAAUGUCACAAACCCCACGGGAAUGUUCUACCUCGGUCAAAACCCCAACUCUCGGACCUUCCGAUACGUUGACCUCUUGACUUUCCCGGAAGGUCAACGCAUGCCCAACCUCGACCCCCUCGCCUACACCCUGCCCAUGGCCGGCAUCAGAAUCGGCGCCAGGAGAUUGAACAUCUCCGCCGCCGUGUUCCGGCCGGACUCCGGCGGUCCGGGCAGACGAUGAUCGACUCCGGGACGCAGUACACGUUCUUGGUGGAGGCGGCGUACAACAAGGUGAGGGAAGAGGUGGUGAGAGUGUGGGGCCAGAUUGAAGAAGGGUACGUGUAUCAAGGAGCGUUGGAUAUGUGCUUCGACGGCAAUGCCAUCGAGAUCGGACGGCUGAUAGGCGACAUGGCGUUUGAAUUCGACAAGGGCGUCGAGAUUAGCAUCAAUAGAGAUCGAAUUCUGGAUCACGUCGGCGGCGGAGUCCAUUGCGUCGCCAUAGGCCGCUCCGAAGCCUUGGGUGUUGCUAGUAAUAUUAUAGGCAACUUUCAUCAACGGAAUUUGUGGGUCGAAUUUGAUUUGCUUCAUCGACGCCUCGGAUUUGGCGUUGCCGAUUGUAGUAAAGCUCUAUAAUUUUUUUUUCAUUUUUUUUUUGUUAUAAUAUAGUUUUUGUAGUAGUGGAUAGUGUAAUAUUAUUAGCCAAUAGUUUUGGAAGAUCUAGCUCCGACCAAUACAGAAUUUAAGUUAUUUUAAAUUAUUUUAUUAAAUUAACUUUUGCUACUAAGGGGUACAUGUUACUUAAUUUAUGUAGAUAUGUUAGACAAUACUACAAAUUUUUUUAUGACAUAGUAUUUGUUAUGUAGAUCAUUUUAGCAUUUCUCAUAUAAUAACAUAAAAUUAUAAUCAUUUAAAUUAAAAUAUAAAAAUAGGAGUAUUAUUUUGGAUUAUCAUGUUCUUAUAUACUUAAACGAAUUUUGUGUAAUUAAAAUUUGUGUAACAAUGUAAAUAAAAUUGUUAUACAAAAUUCGCCUAAAAAAACAUUGUUACACGAAAUUCAUAUAAAGUAUGUAAGUGUGUAAGGAUAUAAUAGUUCAAAAUAGCUAUUAUUUUCAUAUUUUUAUUUAUAUGGUUAUAAUUUAUAAUUAUUAUAGUGUUUUUUUGACUAGGUUAGAGCGUUACCUCUUGUUUUCUACUUUCUCUGCCCCAAAAUGGUAUGUUCAUUUUUAUUUUUUCGUCUCUCCCACAAGAAUAUAUACAACUCAUCACUUUUGAACUUGACUUUACCACUAACCCCUUAAUUUUAAUCUCCACUACACUUAUUUAUACUUUCAUCGGUAUGAUCCAUCAUUAUUUUUUCUUUUACUCCGAUCCACUAAUAAAAAUAAAUGUAUUUCUCUACUCACAGCACACUUACCUAAUAUUUGCUCAUAUAUCUGCCGAACAAACUUUUGGGAUGGAUGGAGUGUAUACAAUAAGAACAAUAUAACGAGUGCUGAUGAUUAUGAUAGUUUUAUUGUUUAACAAGUUUUUAUCAACUGAAAAUAGCAAGUUUUAGUUGAUUCAUAAUAUUUGUAUGUAUUACUAUAAUAUAGUAAAUGAUUCGUCAAUAAAUCACCGCAUACAGUUGCAUACAUAUUUGUUCGACUGUAUAUAUAUAUUUCCACAUGAGAUCCAGUAAUCAAUCAUCAGUCACUAAAAAAUCUAAAAAUGGACAAAAGUAACUUUAAUAAUCCAUGUUUGGUGUCUGUUUGCUCGAAAAUAAAGUUGGGAUUGCAAAAUGCAAAGUAAAUAAAAUACAGCAGUCUGUGUCGGACCUAGGAAGGGGCGUGAGCUUUUAGCCUCAGCCUAAGUAAUUUCUUUUUUAUGUAAAAUAUUUAAAUAUAAACAUUUCAUGUGGAUAUAGUUGUGCAAAAGCUUCAUCAUCAAAUUAAAUUGUAGAAAAAUUAUUUCUCAAUUUUUAAAAACCGAGCUGUCAUUAAAUAAUUAUUUUUUCAUUCGCCCGAAUAUAAGGGAAAAAUAUUUUUCCAAUAAUUUAAUUAUAUGAAGUACAUAUUUUUACCAUUGAUCCGCGACCGCGAUAAAAGCCUACAGCAUAAAUAUCUGUACUCAUUCUAGAGCAUUUAAAUAUCUAAUUAAUUUCCACCUAUAAAAUUAAUAAUUUGGCAGUGGUGGGCUCUAGAUUUGCUGCUUGCUUGCAAACCUGGAUGACACACUCUCUUUUCGUACUCUGUUUAAAUNCACUCCAAAAGAAGCCUCUCUCUGUCUCCUUCCCUCUCACCUCAGCCCCUCUCAGCUCCAAACCCCACGCCUCCGACGCCAAACUCCUCUCCUCAAAGGUCUCAUCGCCGCCGUUCGGCUACAACUACAAGUCAGCCUUCAAAUACUCAAUGGCUCUGAUCAUCUCCCUCCCCAUCGGCACCCGCCGCAGGCGCAGCAGAUGGUGGUGGACACCGGCAGCCAGCUGUCGUGGAUCCCAGUGCCACCGCAAGGCCCCCCGCAAGCCCCCGCCGCCGUCUUCCUUCGACCCGUCCCUCUCAUCCUCCUUCUCCGUCCUCCCCUGCACCCACCCCAUCUGCAAGCCCCGCAUCCCCGACUUCACCUCCCCACCACCUGCGACCAGAACCGCCUCUGCCACUACUCCUACUUCUACGCCGACGGCACCCUCGCCGAGGGCAAUCUCGUCCGGGAAAGAUUCACCUUCUCCCGCUCCCCCUCCCGCUCCACCCCUCCCCUCAUCCUGGGCUGCGCCGCCGACUCCGCCGCCGACGCCGAGGGCAUUCUGGGAAUGAACCGCGGCCGCCUCUCCUUCGUCUCCCAAGCCAAAGUCCCCAGCUUCUCCUACUGCGUGCCGGUGAGGCGCGCCCGCGACAAUGUCACAAACCCCACGGGAAUGUUCUACCUCGGUCAAACCCCAACUCUCGGACCUUCCGAUACGUUGACCUCUUGACUUCCCGGAAGGUCAACGCACUGCCCAACCUCGACCCCCUCGCCUACACCCUGCCCACUGGCCGGCAUCAGAAUCGGCGCCAGGAGAUUGAACAUCUCCGCCGCCGUGUUCCGGCCGGACUCCGGCGGGUCCGGGGCAGACGAUGAUCGACUCCGGGACGCAGUACACGUUCUUGGUGGAGGCGGCGUACAACAAGGUGAGGGAAGAGGUGGUGAGAGUGGUGGGGCCCAGAUUGAAGAAGGGUACGUGUAUCAAGGAGCGUUGGAU